GACAGAGGAUGCAAGCGUUAUCCGGAAUGAUUGGGCGUAAAGGGUGCGUAGGUGGCGCUGUAAGUCGGGUGUGAAAUUUCGGAGCUUAACUCCGAAACUGCAUUCGAUACUGCGGUGCUUGAGGACUGGAGAGGAGACUGGAAUUCAUGGUGUAGCAGUGAAAUGCGUAGAGAUCAUGAGGAAGACCAGUGGCGAAGGCGGGUCUCUGGACAGUUCCUGACACUGAGGCACGAAGGCCAGGGGAGCAAACGGG
rnacentral:rRNA from 1 species